AGUUUGAUCCUGGCUCAGGACGAACGCUGGCGGCGUGCCUAAUACAUGCAAGUCGAACGAAACUUUCUUACACCGAAUGCUUGCAUUCACCGUAAGAAGUUGAGUGGCGGACGGGUGAGUAACACGUGGGUAACCUGCCUAAAAGAAGGGGAUAACACUUGGAAACGGUGCUAAUACCGUAUAUCUCUAAGGAUCGCAUGAUCCUUAGAUGAAAGAUGGUUCUGCUAUCGCUUUUAGAUGGACCCGCGGCGUAUUAACUAGUUGGUGGGGUAACGGCCUACCAAGGUGAUGAUACGUAGCCGAACUGAGAGGUUGAUCGGCCACAUUGGGACUAGACACGGCCCAAACUCCUACGGGAGGCAGCAGUAGGGAAUCUUCCACAAUGGACGCAAGUCUGAUGGAGCAACGCCGCGUGAGUGAAGAAGGUCUUCGGAUCGUAAAACUCUGUUGUUAGAGAAGAACACGAGUGAGAGUAACUGUUCAUUCGAUGACGGUAUCUAACCAGCAAGUCACGGCUAACUACGUGCCAGCAGCCGCGGUAAUACGUAGGUGGCAAGCGUUGUCCGGAUUUAUUGGGCGUAAAGGGAACGCAGGCGGUCUUUUAAGUCUGAUGUGAAAGCCUUCGGCUUAACCGGAGUAGUGCAUUGGAAACUGGAAGACUUGAGUGCAGAAGAGGAGAGUGGAACUCCAUGUGUAGCGGUGAAAUGCGUAGAUAUAUGGAAGAACACCAGUGGCGAAAGCGGCUCUCUGGUCUGUAACUGACGCUGAGGUUCGAAAGCGUGGGUAGCAAACAGGAUUAGAUACCCUGGUAGUCCACGCCGUAAACGAUGAAUGCUAGGUGUUGGAGGGUUUCCGCCCUUCAGUGCCGCAGCUAACGCAAUAAGCAUUCCGCCUGGGGAGUACGACCGCAAGGUUGAAACUCAAAGGAAUUGACGGGGGCCCGCACAAGCGGUGGAGCAUGUGGUUUAAUUCGAAGCAACGCGAAGAACCUUACCAGGUCUUGACAUCCUUUGACCACCUAAGAGAUUAGGCUUUCCCUUCGGGGACAAAGUGACAGGUGGUGCAUGGCUGUCGUCAGCUCGUGUCGUGAGAUGUUGGGUUAAGUCCCGCAACGAGCGCAACCCUUGUUGUCAGUUGCCAGCAUUAAGUUGGGCACUCUGGCGAGACUGCCGGUGACAAACCGGAGGAAGGUGGGGACGACGUCAAGUCAUCAUGCCCCUUAUGACCUGGGCUACACACGUGCUACAAUGGACGGUACAACGAGUCGCGAGACCGCGAGGUUUAGCUAAUCUCUUAAAGCCGUUCUCAGUUCGGAUUGUAGGCUGCAACUCGCCUACAUGAAGUCGGAAUCGCUAGUAAUCGCGAAUCAGCAUGUCGCGGUGAAUACGUUCCCGGGCCUUGUACACACCGCCCGUCACACCAUGAGAGUUUGUAACACCCAAAGCCGGUGGGGUAACCGCAAGGAGCCAGCCGUCUAAGGUGGGACAGAUGAUUGGGGUGAAGUCGUAACAAG
rnacentral:rRNA from 1 species